CGCCGAACCUCGUCCGAGUGGCCUCAUCACGGCCUCCUCAUGAUCUCCUCAUGACCUCCUCAUGACGUGUCCCUAAUGGAACGGGAAGUGAAGAUGAGGUUCUCGCCAUAUUGGAAGGGUGACCUCGUAUGCCGGGUCUUAUACACGCGGCCAAUAAUUUUCUGAUAUUCAGAUUAUCUUUUGAUUGGGCGGAGCUUCCUGCAGAUAUCUGAAUAUCUUUGUGUUGAGGAAGGAAAAAAGAAGAAGAAAAGGAGGAGAGUGAAGCAGCAGCGGCGCAAGGAUAUGAGUUCCAUUUUCAGUCAAUCAAAAUAUUGGAAAAUUUGUGAAUGGGAAUAUCAAACUUGAAACAUCAGCAGUAAAUACAAUGCUCUUGUAAUCGAACUUGGGCCGUAAGGAAGGGAAACGUCGCGAGUUCGCCCUUAUACAGCGCAAUCGGAGGGGCAACGGCGGCGCCCAUGACGGAGGGGGGCGGGAUGAUGUCGCCCGGGUCGCCCCUGUCACGGAGGCGGGUAGGACCGUGCCCGGCGCCCUUUACCAUCAGCGGAGCCUCGGACACCAGUCGCUCCUGCGCCUCAGUCGACGCCCUCUGCAGUCCCACGACCAUCGAGUCCUUUCUCAGCGAGUCCCCCUUCACGCUCUCGCAGGCGAGGAGCUGGGGAGACCUGAUAGGGAAUCCCAGACGAGGAUGCAAGUCGAGGGAGAGGUUCUGCUCCAGGUACUUCCUGAUGGGCAAAUCGCAGACGAGCGGCACGAGCGAGAGCGAAGGGAACAGCGACGACGCCUCCAGACAAGACUCCGUCGAGGAGAAGUACGAGCGGAGGGGAAGCAGCGGGAGCGUCCUGUCCACAUGCCACGCGGAGCCCCAGCAGAAGUCCUUCCUCUCCUUCGGGAAACCGCAGUACCACUUCGCGGAGAAGAGCGAUGGCGUCGAGACGGUGGAGCUGGGCCUCCUCUCGGACCAGCCCAACGUCCACCUCAACAGAGACAAGAACGUGUCCAACUACGGCACCAUCUCCAACCUGAUCCUCGCGCCCCGAGACGCCCUGAACGGCGUGCAGACCGAUGAGCCGAAGGAGAAGCCUUUCCUGAACUCGGCGAUGCGCCAGCGGUCCAUCCCCUUCAUCGUCACGCAGAACCUGAGCUCCCCGAAGCCGUUCCUGAAGGCGGGAGCGAGGCAGUCCUCCCGCUGCAGUCUCAACGUCCCAAACGGAUCCAAAGGAUUCCUCUCGUCGAGGACCAGACUCGACGCCAAGGGAUUUCUCGAGUCCUUAGGAGGAGGACGUCGAGCAAGCCAAGGCCUGUCUCACCUGAGGGUUCCUGGAGGGACGCACGGCUCGGAGAGUAGGAAGGGCUCCUUUCUCUCGGCCAUGAACUCCUCCAUAUUAGACAGGAUGUCAAUCGCGUCCUUCAAGUCCUCCUGCAAGUCGCUCUCGAGAUCGGAGGAGAUGAAGAACAAGAUUAUACAAAAUUUUAACACAGUCCUAUCCCUCGGUGCCGACGUCCUUCCGGAAUAUAAACUCCAGUCGCCGCGGAUACACAAAUGGACGAUCCUGCACUAUUCUCCGUUCAAGGCGGUGUGGGACUGGAUCAUUCUUCUUCUGGUCAUCUACACGGCUAUCUUCACGCCCUACGUGGCCGCCUUCCUUCUCAACGAGCAGGAGGAACGCAGAAAGAAUCACCAGAACCAAUACGAUAAUCCUAUUGUUAUUAUAGACCUUAUUGUUGACAUCAUGUUCAUGGUUGACAUUGUGAUCAACUUCCGUACGACUUACGUCAACCACAACGACGAGGUGGUCUCUCAUCCGGGGAAGAUCGCCCUGCACUACCUGCGGGGAUGGUUCCUCAUCGACGUUGUGGCUGCGAUUCCCUUCGACCUCCUGCUGGUCAAUCCGGAUCCUCACACUUCUACUCCAACAGCAGAAAGAGAUUUAGAGCAGGAGGCAGAUGAUGAAAAGACCACAACCCUCAUCGGUCUGCUGAAGACGGCGAGGCUCCUCCGUUUGGUCAGAGUUGCACGGAAGAUCGACAGAUACUCUGAAUAUGGCGCGGCUGUCCUGCUCCUGCUCAUGGCGACCUUUGCGCUCAUCGCCCACUGGCUCGCGUGUAUUUGGUAUGCCAUUGGUAACGCUGAGCGGCCAGGGCUCCUCCACAAGAUCGGCUGGCUGGACCACCUCGCCAACGCGACGCACCAGUACUACUACAGUAAUAGUACGGGCGGACCGACGCUGAGGGCAAAGUACGUGACUGCGCUGUACUUCACGUUCAGUAGUCUUACGUCUGUGGGCUUCGGGAACGUGGCGCCAAAUACAGAUGCCGAGAAGAUAUUCACCAUUCUUGUUAUGCUGAUCGGCUCUCUCAUGUACGCCAGUAUCUUUGGAAACGUUUCGGCUAUUAUCCAGCGGCUCUAUGCGGGAACAGCACGGUACCACACGCAGCUGAUGCGGGUAAAGGAAUUCAUCCGCUUCCACCAAAUUCCCAAUCCGCUCAGACAAAAGUUAGAGGAAUAUUUUCAGCACGCUUGGACCUACACAAAUGGCAUCGACAUGAACUUGGUGCUGAAGGGCUUCCCAGAUUGCCUACAGGCCGACAUCUGCCUGCACCUCAACCGCCUCCUUGUUGAGUCCUGUUCUGCCUUCGAGGGGGCCAGUCCUGGAUGCCUACGAGCACUUAGCAUGAAGUUCAAAACUACACAUGCUCCACCGGGGGACACUUUGGUCCAUCGGGGUGAUGUCCUUACCUCCAUGUACUUCAUUUCAAGGGGUUCCAUCGAGAUCCUCAAAGACGAUGUUGUUAUGGCAAUCUUAGGUAAAGAUGAUAUAUUUGGCGAGAAUCCUUGCAUCUACCCAACGAUAGGGAAGUCGUCCUGCAACGUCAGAGCGCUUACGUACUGUGACCUUCAUCAAAUCAUGAGAGAUGAUAUCUUGGAUGUCCUCGACUUGUAUCCAGAAUUUGCGGACGAUUUCUCCCGCAAUUUGGAGAUUACGUUCAAUUUGAGAGACGAGGAAGCACAAGGCGUCGACCCACUGCUCCUACACAAGAAGUGCCGUCUGUCCCGGUCUCGCAGCCACUCGCAGGACACCGAGGACCCGAGACGCACCGCCUUCAGACCUCCGCGACACCGAAGGAGGCGCUACGUACAGCCUGGUUCGAGCGGAGAGGAGAGUGACUCUGAUGACAAGCACCUUGAGUCUGGGCGAGGUGUUGGUGAAUUCUCACCUGACAAAAUAGGGCCAGACGGGAGUCCAAUAAACCAACAUUUCGACCAUAAACAACGUUCAGGAACCCUCAACUCCAUAACUGUUGCAGGUAGUACCAGUCCUGAGCGACGUCAUCACCAUGCCCGUCACUCCAGUUUGACCUUACCUGUUGAGGGUCACCCCAACACCGCCCAAACACAUGCCCGUGAUGUCGUAGAGGUCAACAGCCGCCUAGAUGCGCUCACCAGGAGAGGAUGAAGAAGACGAUGAUCAAGACUUUAAAGAUGAUGUUCUUCGCCUAUAUCUUAGAAUGGACCAGUUUAGCAGACAAAUGCAACAUCUUGAGGCACGGGUGACUUCAGAUAUUGCUCAGAUCCUGCUUCUCCUU
rnacentral:misc_RNA from 1 species